rnacentral:antisense_RNA from 4 species
UUCAAUGGUGGCUCAGGCAGGGGCUUCGAAAGAAGCGCCGGGUCGUGAUAACCGGUACGCCAACCCUGUCUGGGUCACCACCAGU